GACACCUGAGGGACACCUGGGUGACACCUGGGACACCUGAGUGACAUCAGGGACACCUGAGGGACACCUGGGACACCUGAGGGACACCUGGGGGACAUCUGGGGGACACCUGGGACAUCCAGGUGACACCUGAGUGACACCAGGAACAUCUGAGGGACACCUGAAGGACACCUGGGUGACACCUAAGUGACAUCAGGGACACCUGAGGGACACCUGGGACACCUCAGUGACACCUGAGUGACAUCAGGGACACCUGAAGGACACCUGGGACAUCCAGGUGACACCUGAGUGACAUCAGGGACACCUGAGGGACACCUGGGACAUCUGAGGGACACCUGAGUGACAUCAGGGACACCUGAGUGACACCUGAAGGACACCUGGGUGACACCUGAGUGACAUCAGGGACACGUGAGGGACACCUGGGACAUCCAGGUGACACCUGAGGGACACCUGAAGGACACCUGGGUGACACCUGAGGGACACCUGAGGGACAUCAGGGUCACUGUGCCAGGUCCAGGUGACAGCCGUGUCACUGUCCCCGUGUCCAGGUGUCACUGUUCCCAUGUCCGGGUGUCACAGCCGUGUCCGGGUGUCACUGUUCCCGUUCCUGUGUCACUGUUCCUGUGUCCGGGUGUCACAGCUGUGUCCGGGCGUCUCUGUUCCCAUGUCCGGGUGUCACUGUUCCCAUGUCCAGGUGUCAC